GUUUGAUUCUAUUUGUGCACAC
rnacentral:piRNA from 1 species